CAAUAGCGUAUAUUAAAGUUGUUGCAGUUAAAAAGCUCGUAGUUGGAUUUGUGGCGUACGGUGUGUUCCGGGCACUUGUUGUCUGAGUAACCUGCUGUUGCCAUCCUUGGGUGGAACCUGUGUGGCAUUAGGUUGUCGUGCAGGGGAUGCCCAUCAUUUACUGUGAAAAAAUUAGAGUGUUCAAAGCAGGCUUAUGCCGUUGAAUAUAUUAGCAUGGAAUAAUGAGAUAGGACUUUUUUGCUAUUUUGUUGGUUUGCGCAAAGAGGUAAUGAUUAAUAGGGACAGUUGGGGGUAUUCGUAUUCCAUUGUCAGAAGUGAAAUUCUUGGAUUUUUGGAAGACGAACUACUGCGAAAGCAUUUACCAAGGAUGUUUUCAUUAA
rnacentral:rRNA from 1 species